rnacentral:rRNA from 1 species
AUUGAACGCUGGCGGCAGGCCUAACACAUGCAAGUCGAACGGAGCGGCAGUCGGGGGAGGGAUGGCUAGGAAUCUGCCUGGUCGUGGGGGCUAACGACCGGAAACGGGCGCUAAUACCGCAUACUAUCAGAUGAGCCUCGGUCGUAUUAGCUAGGUGGUGGGGUAAAGGCCUACCAAGGCGACGAUCCGUAACUGGGCUGAGAGGAAGAUCAGUCACACUGGGACUGAGACACGGUCCAGACUCCUACGGGAGGCAGCAGUGGGGAAUAUUGGACAAUGGGCGAAAGCCUGAUCCAGCCAUGCCGCGUGUGUGAAGAAGGCCUUCGGAUUGUAAAGUACUUUAAGCUGGGAGGCGUUACCAACAGAAUAAGCACCGGCUAACUUCGUGCCAGCAGCCGCGGUAAUUC